UGUUAAUCACAGCUGUCAGUCAACGCCCACACCUUCGACAUCAAAGCGUUUUGAUGAUUAUAAGUCUUCAAAUUUCAUUAAUGGAGCAAUAAUUUCCAAAAUGACCACUAGCACAUUUAUUAGAGGUCCUGGAUUUAGCGAUUGAGACCAUAAUAACUUACUGAAAACAGUUAUUGACUUAGCAUUUCUAGAAAGAAAUUGACGCUUUUUGAAUGGGAGCCAAUUGGAACCAUCAUCAAGUGGCUGUGUGUAGCAUUGCACUCUAAGGUACUUCCCCUUUGGCUUCAACCUCAAGCCGUCAUAGUUACUGCUUGGAAGACACCUUUGACAGAGCUGAGCUGAGUAACAAAACAAACUGUUUUGAGCAUUACAAAUAAUUACUUUUGCUGUUGAGUGAUUAGUAACGUAAUAACUUUUUUAAUGGGUGAUUAAUGAAUGAGUUACUGAUGACAUGUUUCAAGACGUAGGAAACUGUGACAGAAAAUAAGUGCAAUAAAUAAGCACACCCAGAAACAAAAUUUAAAGGUGCAGCUAACUUGCAAAAGAUCACAGCAUUUCUCCCCCUGCUAGCAUGUUUUUCCUGCUUCUUGGUAUCGAUGGCAGGGCAUUUUUUUUGCAUGACACAGAAGAAGAAAGAAGGUGGCAGCAGCGGUGGUGGAGAUGGGAGUUUGGCCACGCCACUGGAACAACCUUGCAGGUUCUGACGCAGACCUUCGCUCCAGGACUCCUCAACCUGGACCAGGGCAGGCACUGGGGAGCAAGCAAAUUAGGGAGAAUGAAGAAAAGAAUGGGAUUUGCUGGAACAAGCUCUAUUCUGAAGGAUUUCCCUCAACACCACUCUGGGUGUCAACAGCAGGAUUCAUGGAGGCAGAGUGUGUUCACAUGGAUCCUGCGGAGAGGAGGGGCAGCCAGGGGUCACCUCAGGUCACCGGCAGGCACUGCAGGAGGAUGUGACUCUGCAGCCUAACAAGGGUCUGCUGAUGCGGGCCUACACAUCCCAUCUGUCAGUGCUACUAUUCCUCCUCACUGGCGGGAGCGAGCUACAUGCAACAGUGAAGUUAUGAGGGAGUAGCAGUGGGAUGUUUCCUGAGGGAAGAGAGCGGCGUGAUGGCCACCGAGGAACCGCAGUGCGGUUCCUUCUCCUAGUUUUGUUUUCAUUCUCAAUGGGGUCGGAAGUGUUAUUUGGGUUAGUAUUCAGAGUGCUGGUUUAUAAACAUGACUUCUGUUCGAUGGGAACUUCUGUCAGAGUCUGGUAGACACAUUUUUGCCUCCUCACUGCGUAGGAGAACAAUAACAUGUCAUCAAAUACCCAGUGGAUGGUCAGAGUAGAUAAAUACUGUACCAUGACUGUUUGUACUGCCUGUUUCUAACAAGCUCUUGGCUUUUAGUUCUUAUUUGUCAUUUGGCUUUCAUUUUAACAAAUAUGAUCUAAUCACACUAGGGGAGAAGCAGUGCUGCAUAAAUAAAAUGAUACGUCACGUAAUCUGCAGUCAUUCUUGCCAGGUGUUAAAAAGUCGCCUCAAGACAGAGACCCAU